rnacentral:rRNA from 1 species
CUACGGGUCGCUCCAGUGAGGAAUUUUGCGCAAUGGGGGAAACCCUGACGCAGCAACGCCGCGUGAGCGAAGAAGGCCUUCGGGUCGUAAAGCUCUGUCAAGUGGGAAAAAAAUUCUUUGAUGAACAGUCAAAGGACUUGAUGGUACCACUGGAGGAAGCACCGGCUAACUCCGUGCCAGCAGGCCGCGGUAAUACGGAGGGUGCAAGCGAUGUUCGGAAUUACUGGGCGUAAAGAGCGUGUAGGCGGUUUGACAAGUCAGAUGUGAAAGCCCCGGGCUCAACCAGGGGAGUGCAUUUGGAAAGCGUUAUGAAAAGAGUGUGGGAGAGGAGAUGGGAUUCCCUGGGGAAGGGGGAAAAUUCGAACAAAUAGGGGGACUCCCCCGGGGCGAGGGGGAUUCUAAAAACAAAUCUGCCCCGGAAGACGCAAAGUGUGGGGAACAAACCGGAUUAUAAACCCCGGUUUUC